rnacentral:rRNA from 1 species
UACGUAGGGGCUAGCGUUAUCCGGAAUUACUGGGCGUAAAGGGUGCGUAGGUGGUUUCUUAAGUCAGAGGUGAAAGGCUACGGCUCAACCGUAGUAAGCCUUUGAAACUGGGAAACUUGAGUGCAGGAGAGGAGAGUGGAAUUCCUAGUGUAGCGGUGAAAUGCGUAGAUAUUAGGAGGAACACCAGUUGCGAAGGCGGCUCUCUGGACUGUAACUGACACUGAGGCACGAAAGCGUGGGGAGCAAACAGGAUUAGAUACCCUGGUAGUCCCUGA